rnacentral:lncRNA from 1 species
UUUCUUUUGAAAUCUUCUUUUCCUCCAAAAGAGAAAAUGUAAAAUUUUAACAAAAACAAAACAAAAAUGACAAAUUUAAUUUCACCCUUAAAUUUAAAAUUAAAUUAUUUUAAAUUUGAAUUAAUUUGUAUUUAGAUCAAUUUCGGUUCAUAUUAAUUUAAAUUCAAGUCAAUUAUUGUUUGAAUUAAUUUGUAAAUCAAAUGGAUCAUUUGAACAAGUAUAAUUUUAUCUUUAUAUAUUUUUAAUUUGGUUUUAAAAUAUCAAGAUUUAAAGUGUAUACAGAUCAAGUUACUCACCCCUUAGCAGCUAAUGAAUUCGCAUCUGGCUUGACUGCUGGAAUUUCCUGGGAAGCCUUUGUAUAUUACAAAAAUUUUAGUAGCUUUCUCCCAAAUACUAAAAAAAAAAAAAAAAAAAAUGAGAUUGAGACCCGCUAUAGGUCUCAUUAGAACCCGGCCCCUGGAAAGAAGAUGCCUCGUUGAGUCUCACCUUCACAGGUCUGUUGUAAACAGAGGGCUGUAUGGGUGAAAAUCCCUGCGGGAGUGACUGUGCCCUUUUUUAGUCCCUUGAGCCUGGGCUUGCGCCUUUAUGCACUUAUAACAAGUUCUCCAAUGAGUUGAUUUGCUCACGAGAAAUCCUUCUAUUCUCAGUUUCGGGGUGAAA